UACGGGGGGGGCAAGCGUUGUUCGGAAUUACUGGGCGUAAAGGGCUCGUAGGCGGCCAACUAAGUCAGACGUGAAAUCCCCAGGCUCAACCUGGGAACUGCGUCUGAUACUGGAUGGCUUGAAUUCGGGAGAGGGAUGCAGAAUUCCAGGUGUAGCGGUGAAAUGCGUAGAUAUCUGGAGGAAUACCGGUGGCGAAGGCGGCGUUCUGGACCAUUACUGACACUGAAUCGCGAAAGCUAGGGGAGCAAACGGG
rnacentral:rRNA from 1 species